GCUGGGUGCAGUGAUGCCCACCUGUAGUCCCAGCUACUCGGGAGGCUGAGGCAGGAGGAUCGGUUGAGCCCUGGAGUUCUGGGCUGUAGUGCGCUAUACCCAUCUGGUUCUGCACCAAGUUUGGCAUCAACGUGGUGACCUCCUGGGAGUGGGGACCACCAGGUGGCCUAAGGAGGGGUGAACUGUCCCAGGUCAGAAACAGAGCAGGUCAAAACUCACAUGCUGAAAAGUAGUAGGAUCACACCUGUGAAUAGCCACUGUACUCCAGCCUGGGCAACACAGCAAGACCCUCUCUCUU
ensembl:misc_RNA Metazoa_SRP Metazoan signal recognition particle RNA